CAACAGGACUGGCACAACUAUCUGAAACGCAUCUCAAUCCUGUUUCCAGCCCACUGGUUCUUCAGAUACGUAUGGUCUUGCUUGCAGUGCCAAGACCUGAGUGUGCUAUGGAUUGUUCACCACGAUGGUCACAUCAGUCUCUGGCUGCCUGAACUGUUUGUCAUUCAGGACAUGCGAUUUUCUCCUUGGUGGCUUGACUACUCCCGGAUCAGCCAGCUGAAAUGAUUAUAGCCAAAGAUAACUAAAAUAACAAAUGGCAAAUAGGAGCAUGAAGGGAAGCUCCUUGGCCAAACUGAUGUGAGCAGAAGACAACUGUUUCUAUCCUGAGAGACAGAUGGCCUUGACAGUGAUUACAUCAAGCUCCCCCAUGUCCUUGCAGACAGGAGUGUUUAGAAG
ensembl:lncRNA